CCUCAAAAACUCCGAAGAGUGUGCCGAGCAGUCGAUAUCUGCUGCUUCUUAGCCACACCUCAUCGUCAUUUGGUGUUUUCUCAGGAUAAGUUGCAAUCGUUUGUUGCAGACGGAAAGUGUGUCGUUAUCGCUGAGUUCAGUUGCGCAGCACAUAGUUCUAGCGACCACACCUAGGUUCUUAGAAAAAGCCAGGAUGAGGGUACCGCUAGCCCUGUGUUUGGUGGUAGGUUGCAUCAUUGUAGGUAUCAGUGCACAGCGUUCUCCAGAUGGCCUCCCUCGGCCAGAGAAUACGCGCUUUUCUCCAGAUUACCCAUUUGGUCCGACACCUACGGUCUAUAACAAUGUGACAGGAGCCGUGAUCGAUUGCGAUUGGUAUGGAUGGGAGAACAUUCUGUAUCCGACAUCUUCAGUCCGAUGCACAUACUUGCUGCGGGCCUUUUUGACGAAUGCGACAUUGUUUCCUCCCAGCAAGCGCGAAGCAUAUGUAUACUACUACCAUUCCAAGUUGUCGGACCCGGCCACCGAAGAACCUUAUUGCUACCAAGGGUGCUUCAAAUUGUCUGCGUCUUCGUCCUCACCGCCGUCAGCUCCCGCUUCGGACCCCCCUCCUCCCCCAGAUAUAAUCCCACCAAGUCCCACGACUUUCAACUCACCACCACCCCCAACUCCCAUCUUAACACCUACUACUCCCAGCGUAACGCCGUCCACCUCGCCUGGGACGCCUACAACUCCAACAACUACACCUAGAUUCAACUCCAACAGUGGCGAUUGUUUGCGGCCGUCGGCGCCGGGAUCGUGGAUUGCGAUGGUGGCGGGUGCAGCCAUGUUGAUGAUGAGGGGGAGAUGGUGAGGUGUGAAGGGGGAGGCGCUGCGAUGGAGAAGCGCCGACCGUGAUGUAUGUAGGUAGUCCCUCUCCGUUCCCAGUGUGUGUGUGAAUGUGAGUGUACAGGUGAUGGAGGUAUCGUGUGGAGUCAGCUGGGUUCCUUGAUAGAUAGGGUAGCAGUAUCAUUAUCAUCUGGCUCUCUCUGAUUUGAAUGGGGCAUGAUGCUGUGUCUCCCUUUGUAGCUGCAUCAUUCCUUGCACCAUUUCCCUUUGAUAUGUGAUAUGUCAUCGUGUAGUACGAAAAACCGAUGGCGAGAUUCUAUGCCAUGUUUAUAAAAUAAUUAAGUCAAGUUUAUGGAAGCCAAAUUAUUUAGUUUUUUUUCGAGAUAAUUGGUUCCUUCCCUUUCCUUUCCUCCUCGCACACUUUCUGCUAUCUUAUUGCAGUUUUUCUUCUCCCUAUGCCGUUUUCUCACGUCUUCUCCUUCUGCAAACCGCCCCACUCACACACACCCCCCCCCCCUUUAUUUUUUAUUUAUUUUUUUCUCUCUCUGUUCUUUAUCCUGGUUUCUGGUGCACUUUGGCUCGCUUGAGUCGCUUCAUGUGAUUUGUAUGAAUGCCUUGAACCUCAUUUGUGUCGAAGAGUGAAAAUGUUGACAACUACGUCAUUUCUCUGUAUGUGGUUAUUGAUUGGAUUUAUAUGUGCCUACACCACGAAGCACUUUGAGCAUAAUUCAGCUAUGCACUAAGAAAGCCGAUUCGUAGUGCUACCAACACUAUCGGCCCAAGUUACCGAAUAGAACAUGUAAAAUAUCGUAAUUGUUCAGUACCAUAGGCAUGUAAUCCUUUAGCAUUGUUGGUAAACUGUAAUGUACCUCAAUCACCACUAAUCCAAAUUAUAACGGAGAAACUAGUAUUACAUUCAAUCGUUGCAACAGUGUAAAUAGUAGAUGACGUAUUUUCAACGCCAAAUUCCUACUCACUAGAAUCCACAAUUCGAACGCUACAGUCACCUUCACCUACAAUCAUCCGAAUAGUUGACCUCGUAGAGUAUAGGUCCCUCGUGUUGGUUUUGUGAUUGAAGCCAUGUUAUGUAAUUAAAUUCUACUGUUGUUCUGUCAAAGGAAAAAGUGUACAUAAUUUCUACCUUUAUUGAGAGAGAUAAGAUUGUUGAGGCCGCUAUUUCAGAAGGCAUUCUAAUUAUAUCUAUGUUGCAACAUAGAAGCAAUUGCAAAAGAUUUUUUUUAUCAAAGAGCAGAUAUGCAUGCUAACCACAAUUAAUUUGUAAAAAAACAUGUGUAGUUAAUGGCAUAUUCAGAACUACAGAUAACCAUGGUGUGCAAUUAGAUUUAUUUUUAUUGUGAUAUAUUUUACAAUUCUUCAAUGAGUAACAUGUAGCAUAUAAUUUAAGAGCUUGGAACUCAUGAUUCAAGAGUCAUGCACAUCAUAAGUUUGUUGCAUCCUACAAAGAAUUAUAAUUUAUUACAUACUAUAUAAAAAAAUUAUAACUUAUCACAUAUUUCAUUAUACAAAAAAAUAACAUGUUAUAGUUAUAAUAACACCAUAAUAUCAUAUAUUUGUUAGGGACAUAGUCCUUAGAAUCUUCUAGAGACAAGUUUCUAGAACCUUCUAGAAGCAAGUCUCUGGAACCCUCUAGAAGCUUCUUAGUUGGUAGAAGUUGCUUGAGAAGCUUCUUAAAUAGGAAUAUAUAUUGGAAUCGAGGUUGAAGAGUUCUUCAGUCUCGACAACACAUCUCUUGGAGCUCUAGCUCACCUCUCUGGUCUUGUUCUUGUAUUCAUGUGAUCAAUCUAGUUCUUGCCAGUUCUUCUUGAACUUCUUGUUAAAUCUCAAGUGUGUAUUUUUGUAUUCGUGACAGUUUGUCGAGACUGCACUCACCUCAGAUAUCAGAGCUAGUUUCUUCCUCGUUAGAGUAUGGAUUAUCCCUCUACUUGGAAGUGUACUAACAUUUUAGAGGUUGCGGAUUAUCUUUCUUUAAAUUGAUACUUCUUUUGUUACAAUAUUGGAGUCCUAUUCUUCUUGGAGAGAGUGGAUUAUCCAUUUUCUUGAAGCUCUUAAGGCAUUUUAGAGGUUGCGGAGUACUCUCCUCUAAACCAAUAUUGUCUUCUUGUAGAGUCAUUUCUGUCCUUCUAUUAGAAUGGUUGGAGGUCAAGACAUUAGUAUGACAGAAAGUUUGGAGUCCAAGUUGGAUGCUAUCAUGAAUGCCCUCGCUACGUUAUCGCAAAGAACUGCAGAGAUUGAAGGAGUCGUGGUAAGGCUUCAUAAUGAUGGAGCAUCUGAGAUGGCACAAUCUAGGUUGCACCAGCUUCAAACUUCUGCACUUGGAGAAGCAACUUUGCCUCAGGUUCGACAAGCAUCGCUAGUUUUAUAACAUAAGGAGCCCUGAGUUAGCCUUCCGGACAAGUUCGAUGGUACACAUUCCAAGUUUCAAGGAUUCGUCAACCAAAUCAAGUUGAUAACAGUUUUACAGCUGAACGCUAUCCAACGAAGUAGUCACAUGUUGGGCUUGUUGGAACCUUACUUACAGGGCAAGCUCUAUCAUGGUUUGCUUCUUUGUUUGAGAAACGAUCGUCCAUACUAAACAACUUUGAAACCUUUUUGGAGGCGUUUGCGGAAGCAUUCGGUGAACACGACAAGGUUCAAUGGACUACAACAAAGAUCCGAUCACUACGACAAGGGAUGCGCUCUACAUCAGUCUAUGCAUCGAAUUUCAGGCAAUUAGCAUGCGACAUCAAUUGGAACGAAGAAGCAUUGAUGAGUCAAUUCUAUUGGGAUUAAAGGGACGAUGUGAAGGAUUUGCUGUUAACUCUUCCUGAUCCGCAAAUACUCAACAAAGCUCUUAUCCAAGUUGUGAAGUGCGAUAACCGCCUAUUCCAAUGUCGGCAAGACCAACGUUCAAGACAACAUACGGUUUGCCAUGCCCCAAUUAUGUCGGCAAGCAAUGUGAAUUCACAUUCAGAGGUAGAAGACAUGCAAAUUGAUGCGGUACGUAUCAAAUCUCUUACUCAAGAAGAAAAAAAGCGGUGUAUGGAGGAAGGUCUAUGCUUGUAUUGCGGUGAAGAAGGCCACAAAGUUGGAAACUGCCCCAAGAAGCAGAAUCGACAUAUUAUCAAGACUAGGGAUGCAUUUAUUCAGGAAAACGAGGAUGCCCAGCCACAAUAGGAACCGUGCGAAUGGACAGUGAAAUAUCGCAACAACAACCAGGUUCCUUUCUUUCCGCUCAACCUGCCCUUUAUUUUACAAUCCCUUUGCUUAUUGGCCCUCAGAAACUGAGAACCUUAGCAUUAUUAGAUUCAUGAGCAUCUACUUGUUUUUUAGACGAAGAAUUUGCAAAGCGUCAUAAGAUCCCUUUAGUACAAAAAUCCAAACCUGUUCACGUUGAGGUCAUAGAUGAACGACCUUUAUUGUCUGGUAGUGUCACCUAUGAAUCAAAACCUAUAGAAGUGACGUUUAAGGACCAUAGUAGUCAUAUUAUUUUCAAUAUUAUUACAACCCCAUCAAAUCCUAUUAUUUUUGGUCUUUCUUGGUUGGAAAAGCAUAAUCCAUCUAUAGAUUGGAGGUUGCGGAAGAUAACCUUUUCUACAAAACUACCCAAGAACAAGCCUAGUAGAAAAUCUCGAAUAGAGAAAUCCUUAUUCAUUGGAGCAAGAGCAUUUAUAAGAUCGUCCAAGGAAGGCACACCAUUUGUUAUUUAUGCGGCUCCAACUAUCGGGGAGAAGAUCUCGACAACAAGUAUAUCUGAGCAAUAUAAGGAUUUUAAAGACAUAUUUCAAAAGAAGAAUGCUGACAUGCUACCAGAACACCGACCAUAUGAUUGCGCAACAGACUUGCAAGAAGGAGCACAACCACCUUUUGGCCCAAUCUACAAUCUAUUGUAGACUGAGUUGGCGGAGUUGCGGAAGUACAUCGACCAGAAUCUAGCCAAGAAUUUCAUCCAUCAUUCAAAAUCGUCAAUUGGAGCACCCAUCUUAUUUGUGAAGAAGAAAGAUGGCUCAUUGCGGAUGUGCGUGGACUAUCGAGGCCUCAACAAGAUAACAAAGAAGAAUUAUUAUCCGUUACCCUUGAUUUUUGAUCUCUUAGAACAUCUUGGACGUGCAAGGAUCUUUACAAAAAUUGAUCUAAGGAGAGCUUACAACCUCGUACAAAUCAAGGAAGGAGAUGAGUGGAAGCCAGCGUUCCGUACAAGGUAUGGCCAUUUUGAGUAUAAUGUCAUGCCCUUUGGUCUUACUAAUGCUCUAGCGGUCUUUCAAUAUAUGAUGAAUGAUAUUUUUCGAGAGCACCUUGACGAUUUUGUUGUCAUCUACUUGGAUGAUAUUUUGAUAUUCUCCAAAAAUGAGGAAGAGCAUGAAAAGCACGUUCGUUUGGUCUUGGAGAAAUUACGCGAGCAAGGACUAUAUCCCAAGUUGGAGAAGUGUUUAUUCCACCAAAUAGAGAUGGAGUUUUUGAAGUUCGUUGCGACUACGGAAGGCUUGAAGAUGGACCCCAAGAAGGUGGAAGCAAUCGUGUCCUAGGAGGUUCCAAAGACGAUUAAAGACGUACAAUGCUUUCUUGGUUUUGCCAACUUCUAUCAAAUCUUCAUCAAGAAUUACUCUCAAGUUGCUGCUCCUCUCACUCGGUUGACAUGCAAGGAUAAGUUGGAAUGGGGACCUCUACUAGAGAAGGCGUUUUAAGACCUGAAGACCGCAUUUACUACGACUCCAAUCUUAGUACAUCCAGACUUUACAAAGGCCUUUUAUUUAGAAACUGAUACUUUGGAUUUUGCUUUGGGUGCUGUACUUUCACAAAUGGGAGAAGACAAGAAGCUCCAUUCGGUUGCAUUCUAUUCUCGAAAGUUUUUCGCUGCUGAAAUCAAUUAUGAGAUCCACAAUAAGAAACUUCUUGCUAUAGUGGAUUCUUUUAAAGAAUGGCGUCACUUUCUUGAAGGAGCUGCACAUCUAGUGACCGUAUACACAGAUCACAAGAAUUUGGAGUAUUUCAUGUCGCUUGAGUUCUAAAUCGACGUCAAGCUCGGUGGAGUAUGUCGCUAUCUAGGUUUGAUUUUGUUAUCACUUAUCGACCUAGAAAGCAGUAGGGACUAUCUGAUGCCUUAUCGAGGAGAUCGUAUCUUGUACCAAAAGCUGGAGAAGCAACGUUUGAUCAACAAUGUAUGACGUUGUUGAAGCCAGAGCAAUUUCAGUUUUGUGCUACUAUUAUGCCAAUUGAUGCUGACUUUCUGAAUCAGGUAUGUGCCGUAACCAUUGAAGAUUCAGUAGCCAUUGAUAUCAAGCAGUGUGCCAAUGACGACAAAUUCAAGGUGGAGGGAGAUCUUUUAUACUUUGAAGAGUGGUUGUAUAUUCCAAAAGGACCAGCACGACUCCGAGUUCUUCAAUCUCGCCACGAUUUUCCAACUGCGGGGCAUUUUGGAUCCAACAAGAACUUAGAGCUUAUUUCUCGAGAUUUUUGGUGGCCCCAAAUGUGGAAGGAUGUGAAAGAUUUUGUCCUCUCUUACAACAUCUGUUCAAGAUCCAAGAAUCCUCGGCAUCGCCCUUAUGGACUUCUACAGCCAUUACCAAUUCCACGUCGACCAUGGUCUUCAAUUUCCAUGGACUUCAUCACGGACCUGCCAUCAUCGAACUGAUUUAACAGCAUCUUUGUCAUGGUAGAUCGACUUACAAAGAUGGCGCACUUUGUCUCUUAUAAGAAGACAUCAUCCAGUGAAGUCAUAGCAAGGCUCUUUCUCGAUAAUGUGUAUCGAUAUCAUGGACUACCAGAUGAUAUCGUAUUAGAUCGAGGAACCCAAUUCGUAUCAAAGUUUUGGAGAUCUCUCUUUGAGAUAUUGAAGGUGGAUAUCAAGCUUUCUUUGACUUUUCAUCCUCAAACUGACAGCCAAAUGGAACGGGUGAAUCAAGUCUUGGAACAAUACUUACGAUGCAGCAUCAACUAUCAGCAAGACGAUUGGACCACAUAUCUGCUGCUAGCCGAGUUUGCAUAUAACAACACCCUCCAUGCGUUGACUCAAUAUACACCAUUCUUUUCCAACUAUGGGUAUUAUCUGAAGCUUGAUUUAUUGAGUCUGUCAACAAAUAACAAUCCAGCAGCUGAAGGAUUUACGAAACAACUAUCAGAGCUUCAAAAUACGUUGAAGCUUCAAUUACAAUCUGUUCAAGAAUCCUAUAAGGCAUCUAUAGAUAGAUUUCGGAAUCAAGCACCUACUUUCAAAAUUGGAGAUAAAGCAUAGCUUCUUCAAUGGAAUAUCAAGACCAAGCGACCUUGUGAUAAGUUGGACUAUCAAAGAUUGGGACUAUUUAUCAUCCAGAAGCAAAUCAAUCCAGUGGCGUACCGUCUAGAAUUACCGGCUUCUAUGAAGGUACAUCUAAUCUUUCAUGUUUCUCUGUUGGAGUCUUAUCGAGAGUCCUCUUUUCCUAGAAGAAUGCAAUAUCUAUCGCCUAGUAUUGAAAUCAAGAACCACAAGGAAUACGAGGUUGAAAAGGUACUGGAUUCAUGGCAAAGGUGGGACAAGUUAGAGUAUCUUGUUCAUUGGUGCGGCUACGACAUUAAUGAUCGAAUGUUGUCGUAUGGUGUGAUUUGCUAUCUGGGAAUAUACUGGAUAUCUAGCUGUAGAGAGUGUACCUUAAACCUUUAUAUGAUUCUUUUCUUGGCUUCCAAAACUCCUUUAUUUUUGUAUAAAACUCCAAAUAUAACAAAAUCCCUUCAAAACAUAUUUUUUCCACGAAGGGUUUUCUCGCCCCAAAUUUUAGAAAAUCAUAACUGUUAAUCUAAUUGUUUAAUUUAUUUUAAAUUUACAAAAUAGGUAGAAUUUAGCCUUAAAUUUUACCACAAAAAAAACCAACUAUAAAUUCACUCCCGAUCUUCUGGCAUUUAAGAAACCCUAGCAGACACUCCAAACCCUAAUUUACAAGCAUCUGAUAACUAUUUUCCUUAUAUCUCAAAAAUCAUAACUUUAAAUGUCAUAAAACUUAUGCACAAAGUUUACUAACAUGAAAUUACACAUUUUCUGAAAUUUUGAGCCAAAACUUCACAAAAUUGUUGAAGAUAUAGCUCAAGAGACAAACACUAGUAAAUCGAUUUACUUACUACCCUUAGAUUGCAUGUGCUGACUUCAAAAUCCAAUAACUCCUUUAUCCCGACUUAGAAUCCAAUAAGCAGUAUGCAAAAAGUAUAGCCGCAAAAGUGCUCUCUCCAGUCGCGGUCGCCGAUCCUCAAUUGCCAUCCGUACGCGUGCGUUAUGCCCAAAAGAGUGACAGUAGGUCCAAAACUAACACCUUAACUUUGAGCGCCUAUAACUUCUUCAUAAAAACCCCAAAUGACACAAAACUUGUACCAAAACCUUAACCAAAAACCUAAACCUUCUGACCCUAGCUUUCAAAGUUCGAAUGGCCUCGAGAAACUAACCCUAAUCCCUAAUAUGGCCUCGGGCAGCCUCCUCAAAGCCCAUUGGUCAUGAUUUUUGACCAAUAGGAAUGGAGAUUUUUAUUUUUCAUCUCCAUUCAUCUAUAUUGGUGCCCUUAUUCCUCCCUUUGCUACCAAAAUCCUUCUUCAAUCCUUUUUCUUAUAAGAUUUACAUAAUGUAUGCUCUAAACACCAAAUAAAAGAACCAAAAUAAGUUUUCAAAUGUCACCAAUGUCUAACAAAGGUGACUCUAAAUAUUUAGAAGUUACUAUCAACCAAAAUCAAUCUUAAAAGCCACUAUCAAAAAGAAAUUAAAGUUAUACAAAUUCUAUAGUAAUCUAUUUAAACAACCUCUUCUCAAAGUAAUAAUCAAAUUAUACUCUACAACCAACUAAAAUCUACUAACAUGGCUCUCACCAUGUUAUUUAAUAAAUUAUAUAUUAAGUAUAUAACUACAUUAUCUUCAUAUAGUAGUCGAACCACAACACGACAACGUGGGAGCCAACUAAAAAUCUCACUAAUGCGCUGCAAAAGAUACAAGAGUUUCAUCAACGACAUCCUCAUAAACCUAAGUCGGUUCGACUAUAGCUUCUUUCUGAAGCUUGUUGACCCAAGAAUAUAAGAAAGGGGGAGAGUACCACCAAAAUUCGUAGUUGAUUUAAUUAUUUUCUCCAAGAUAAAGUAGAAUUUUUCAGUAGCCAUAAUUUGGUUUUUUGAUAUGAAUAGCCAAGAGAUAGAUACUAUGCCAGUCAGAUUAUCUCAACCAACUAGCUCAAGAAGGCGACCCCGAGAUACAUCAUGAUGACAACGGAGGAUACCGAGUAACUGAUCAUUGGUGAUUAUAUUUGAGUUCGAACCUGCUUACGAUGGUCAGCCAGAAGGCAUAUUUGCAGGACAAUUUCACAAUGAGGAUACGAAAGUUCAUGCUUGGUCAUAAGUCGAAGGCGUGGGCCACUACCGUUGGUUUCAAGGACUGAUGAACAACUUACCUCGUGAACAACAGUUGGAGUUCAUAGCAGACGUUAUGCGACAUAUCUUCAUUUUCUUGCAUUGAUACUGAUUAACAACAACAUUACUUCUUAGAGACCUCGAAGCUAAAAGAAGGGAUGAUGUUAGGGACAUAGUCCUCAGAACCUUCUAGAGACAAGUUUCUAGAACCUUCUAGAAGCAAGUCUCUGAAACCUUCUAGAAGCUUCCUAAUUAGUAGAAGUUGCUUGAGAAGCUUCCUAAAUAGGAGUAUAUAUUGGAAUCGAGGCUGAAGAGUUCUUUAGUCUUGACAACACAUCUCUUGGAGCUCUAGCUCACUUCUUUGGUAUUAUUCUUGUAUUCAUGUGAUCAAUCUAGUUCUUGCCAAUUCUUUUUAAACUUCUUGUUAGAUCUCAAGUCUGUAUUUCUGUGUCCGUGACAAUAUUAUGAUAUUAGGUUAUAUAUUAUAAUAUAAUUAUAUUAAUUAAUAUUAUACAUAUAUAUCAUGAUAAAUAUAAUUAUAACUUAUUGGCAAGGACAAGAACUCGAUGAAAAAAUAAUCCAGACAAGUGAGCCUUCACUCAAAGAAAGAUAACAAAAUAUAAAUAAAUAAGGAUGUAUAUUAAAAGAGAAACUAGAAUGGCUAUUGCCAAAAGACAAGAAAACUAAAGAUCCUUGAAACUAGAUUAGAAGCAAGAAAGGAGUUGACAAGAGUGAAGAAGGCUUCACUCUUUUCUCUAUAUAUACUAUCUAACUAGAGGCUAUGUGGCGACGUUCUAUAGGACCUCUAAUAUGUGUUGACUUUGUAGGACACAUGCCUUGACUUACAAGAUAAGUUUUUCUAUGUGUGGGCCACAUAGUUAGCUUGAUCUUUAAGCAAACAACACGUGUGGCACAUGACCAACUUGUUGACCACGUUUCUAAUCCAAAAAGUCAAUUAAAGACACCUAUGAAGUGAAAGCAGCAUCUAUAAAGCUUCUAAGAAGCUUCCAUAUUAAAUACUAUAGAAUUAACUUACUUUUAUCUACUUUUAUUUACUUCUACUUAUUUGUAUAUGUAAUUACUAGCUUACAUGAGUAUGUCUGUGACAUUAUCUCCUCCCUUCUAGGGUCGAGUUCCACGAGGAGCAAUCAUCAUAUGUUGAGAAAAUCUAUGAUGCGAUGAAUUGUAUUCGCCACAUACUCUGAUCUUUGUUCUCUUUGAAGAUGAUUGAUAGGGCCUCUCAACCAUCGAUAGUGUGCCAUACCACAGCGGGAAGACCACCCAGUUAUUUGAUCAUUGUUGAGGCCUUCAUAACUUCUUUCGAAUAGAACAUUUGGAACACCAUCAGGAAUUGUUCCAACCUCUAGCAAAAUCACCAAACAUUGGGAGUCCCUUCCCAAAUCGUGAUACCAAACGCAUUGUAUCUCGCCAUCUAUUUGAAGAAGAACAUGUCGUUCUUGAAGAUAUUCAUCUCGAUUACAUCGUCUUGAAGGUUGUGACAAUCGUUAUGUCUCGUCUAGCAGGUCAGCAAAUGAAGGCUCUUGAGUCGAAUCCACUGGUUGUUGGUUCUCCAUCUCUUGAAUGUCACAACUAUAAAGAAGCUUUGAAUAAGGAUUGAAAGUAGAAUGUUGUCUUGCCUAGAUGUUGUUUCUUUUAUAAAGAAGGUUUUUAUCUUGAUUUUGAUGGAUGUUGUCAAUGAAAAGCCUCCACCACCUUUGUUGCAUUUGCAAGAUUCUUUAUUGGCUCCCAUGUACGUUUACUAAUACCAUAUCUGUGCCAAUGGACCAGAUAUUCCAAUUUAUUUCGGUGCCACCUUGAAUCUAAGACUUCUUCUACUUCAAACUCAUCAUUAUUUUUUACUUCUAUAGGAGGAGGUGGAGCUUGUCAUCUUCUUGGUAUGUCCACUGUCUUGUAUGGUUUAAGAAGAGACAUGUAAAAUACUAGAUGGAUUUUCAUUGACUCCGGUAGAUGUAAACGAUAUAUAACUGGAUUAAUUUGUACAAAAAUAGAAAAUGGUCCUAGCCUUCGAUAGUCCAACUUGUCAUAAGGACGAGUGAUCUUGAUAUUGUGACGAAGUAGCCAUACCUUAUCAUCCAAGAGGAAUGGUGGUUGUUCCUUUUGAUAGACAUCUGUAUUGACCUUUUGUUGUUCUUGAGCCUCUUUUAACUACACCUUCAUCGUUGCAUGUAGCUCUGAUAAAUGAAUCGUCAAAUCUUUCGCAGCAGGAUUAUCAACUUUUGAAAAGUCAAAAGUAUCAAGUCGUGGAUGAUAACCAUAAUUAGCAAAGAAAGGUAUUUAUUUUAUAGAAGAAUGUACUGUGUUAUUGUAAGCAAACUCUGCCAAUGGCAAAAGAGUUGUCCAAUCAUCUUGUUGGUAGUUAAUUGUACAUCUUAAAUAUUGCUCCAAAAUUUGAUUAACACGCUCCGUUUGUCCAUCAGUUUGAGGAUGGAAUGCUGAAGAUAGUUUUAUAUCCACUUUUAGAAUCUUGAAAAGAUUUUGCUAAAAUCUUGAUACAAAUUGAGUUCUCCUAUCUGAUAUAAUAUCCUUGGAUAAUCCAUGAUAGCAAUAGAUAUUGUCAAAAAAGAGCUUAGCUGUUUCUUCACCUGUGAUAGAUUUUUUACAUGGUACAAAAUGUGCCAUCUUGGUAAAACGAUCUACAAUCACAAAUAUAGAGUCAUAAGAACCCGAGAUUGGAAGAUCCGUGAUGAAGUCCAUAGAAACAGAAGACUAUGGUUGUUCUGGAAUGGGUAAUGGCUGAAGAAGUCUAAAGGUUGAUGACGAGAAGUUUUUGAUCUUGAGCAAACAUCACAUGAUUGUACAAAAUCUUUGACUGCCUUCCACAUUUGAGGCCACCAAAAAUCACUAAAUAUGAGCUCCAAAGUCCUGCUGUUGGAAAGUCGUGACAAACUUAAAGAACACGUAAAUGUGCUUCUCCUUCUGGAACAUAUAGGCAUCCUUCAAAAUAGAGUAGGUUGUUCUUGAAUUCAAAUUUAGAGAGAUCAUGAGAUUUAGAAGAAUUAUUCUUGAUAUCAUGAACAAGAGGAUUUGAAGACAUACUUAAUUGGACUUACUUAAGAAAAGUUAAAUCAACAGUCAAUGUUGAUUUUAUUGCUCGAAGAUGAAAUUGCUCCGGCUUCAAGAGAACUGUUCUUUGUUGCUCAAAAGUUGCAUCUCUUUCUUUUGGUGCAAGAUAAGAACGUCUAAACAAGGCAUCGAACAAACCUUGUUAUUUUUCUAGCCGAUAAGUCAUGAUGAACUCGAAUCUUGAUAAAGACAUGCUCCAACGAGCUUGACGAUGAUUUAAUACACGUGUUGACAUAAAAUAUUCGAGGUUCUUGUGAUUCAUAUACACGAUGACUGGAUUGGAAGUGCCUUCUAGAUAAUGAUUCCAUUCUAGAAAAGAAUCCACAAUUGCAAGAAAUUCUUUGUCGCGGAUCUCAUAAUUGAUUUCUGCUGUUGAGAAUUUUCUUGAAUGAAAGGCUACUGGAUGAAGUUUAUCAUCUGUUCCCAUUUGUGAUAAAACCACACCCAGAGCAAAGUCUGAUGCAUCUGUUUCUAUAAAGAAUGCUUUGGAAAAAUCAACACGAUACAAGAUUGGUGCAAAAACAAACGCUGUCUUCAAAGAUUCAAAAGCAACUUUUGCUUCUUGAUUCUAUUGGAGUUUGUCUUUAUAAGUCAAAAGUAUAAGUAAAGUUGCAACUCGAGAGAAGUCUUUGAUGAAGAUCCAAUAGUAGUUGGCAAAUUCCAAAAAAAAUUGGACAUCUCUUACCGUUUUUGGGAUCUUCCAAUCUAUAAUAGUUUGAACUUUCUUAGGAUCCAUCAUAAGAUCAUCAUUUGAAAUGAUGUAACCUAAGAAAUCGACUUGAGUAUUAUGGAAUACACACUUUUCUAUCUUGGCAUAGAAUCCUACAUCUCUUAAUUUUUGUAACACAUGACGAACAUGAAGUUCUUCUUCUUUUAGAUUCUUAGAAUAGAUCAAGAUGUUGUCUAGAUAAUAGACUACAAAAUCGUCCAAAAACUCUUGAAAAAUAUCAUUCAUUAGAUGUUGAAAAGCUGCUAGUGCAUUUGUAAGUCCAAAAGGCAUGAUGUUGUAUUCAAAAUGUCCAUACCUAGUUCGAAACGCAGUCUUCCAUUCAUCUCUUUCUUUGAUGUGUACUAGAUUGUAUGCUCCCCGAAGAUCUAUUUUUGUAUAGAUCUUAGCUUGAUUCAGUUGAUCAAGAAGUCCAGAUAUUAAAAGUAGUGGAAACCUAUUCUUGAUGGUAAUCUUGUUGAGUCCUCGAUAAUCAACAUACAUCUGCAAUGAUCCAUCUUUUUUCUUCACAAAUAGAAUUGGAGCUCUUGCCGGAGAUUUAGAAUGGCGUAUGAAAUUCUUGGCUAGAUUUUCUUCAAUAUACUCCUUGAAUUCAGUCAACUCAUUUUGUAAUAAAUUGUAGAUUAGUUCGAAUGGCAGAUGUGCUCCUUCUUGAAGGUCAAUUGAGCAAUCAUAGGAAUGAUGUUCUGAGAGUAUAUUUGUAUUUUUUUUUUGAAUACAUCUUGAAAUUCUUGAUAUUGGCUUGAAAUGCCUCUUGAAAUCUUUCCACCAGUAGGAACAUGUGUAGCAUAAAUAAUAUAUGGUGAUUCUUUCAUAGCAGCAUGCAAGAAAGCUUUUGUACCUAUAAAUACGGGUUUAAUUGAACUGGACUUAUGAUUCUCUAUUUGAUUAACUACACUAUUAGUUAUACUUUUAGAAAAAAUAAGAAUUCAGAAAAUCCAAUCUAUUUGAGGGUUGUAUUUUUUUAACCACAAUAAACCUAAAAUGACUGGAUUAGAGGGAGAUCUAAUGAUAUUAAAUACUAAAAAACUAUUAGGCCCAUUGAUUAUUACUUCUAUAGGAAGGGUUUUAUGAGUAAUAUCUCCAAAAGAUAAUGGACGAUCAUCUAUGACUUCUACAUGAACAUGUUUAGUUUUCUUUACUAAAGAUAUGCUAUGUCUUUUAAUAAAUUCUUCAUCAAAAAAAUACGUUGAGGCUCCCCAAUCUAACAAGGCAGAGAUUGUGUAAUGUUUAGGUCCUAAAAUAAUAUUAAAUAUAAAACAAGGAGAAGGCUCUGAGGAAAAAAUAAGACCUUUACUAGAUGUUGUGAAAGGUUCCAACCGCACGGUUCCUAUUGUAGCUGGACAAACUGGUUUUCUGACAUAUUAUCUUCUUUCACAGCCAUACUCCUCAUUUUGUGAUUGCGUCAUUUCUUUGGACAAUAUUGAGUAGUGUGCUUUGGUUCUCCACAAUAUAAACAUAAUCCUUCUUGACGACGAUGAGUCUUUUCUUGCUCAAUAAGACGUUUGAAAUGUACUGCAUCAAUUUGCAUAACCUCUACUUUCGAAUGUAUGUGUUGAAGAGGUGUUGGUGUUGCGAUUGAAUUAUAGUAACAUUGAGGUCUAUUUGUACGGUUCUCAGAUCGAAAUUUAAAAAGGAGAUUGUCGCACUUCACAGCAAAGUCAAUUGCUUGACUCAAUGUUUGAGGAUCAGGUAAGUUGAGCAUUAAUUUUUUUACCUCAUAUUGUAAUCCAUAGAGAAAUUGGCUAAUAAGUGCAGCAUCAUCCCACUUGAUAUCAGUUGCAAGUUGUCAAAAUUGUGAAGCAUACAACGUUACUGAUCGAUUAUCUUGUCGUAAAAUAUGGAUCUUAUUGGUUGCAACACGAAUUGCAUCAUAUUUUCCAUACAUGGAUCAAAAUUCCACUAGAAAAGCCUCUAGAUCAUCCAAUAUUAGAUCUCGUCGUUCAAGAAAAGAUAAAAAUCACGAUAGUGCUAAACUUGAAAGAAGCGUACCAAUGAAUCUAACUUGCGAUCCUGGAGUUGGAUAGCUUUGGGGUUGAAGUUCAAUCACAAGUUUCACUUGAUUGAUAAAUCCUCGAAACUUAGAUCUGGUGCCAUCAAACUUCUCGGAUAGGAUAAUUCUUGGUUCUCUAACACUAGAAGAGCGCUCCACCAUAGGAGAAAGGACAUGGUUUGGUGUAGAUGUUGAAGCAGCUCCAACCAUUUCUAUAUCUUCACUUCUUGUCAAUCUUAUUGCUCCUUGUGGUGGUAAAUUAAGUUGAUGCAUCGCAAGCAUUAACUCCUUCAAUUGUUCUUGUAUUUGUGCCAUUACAUUCUUCAUUUCAACAAGUUUUGCCAUGAUAAUACUUAAAAAAGAGAAGAUGUCUAAUAUCGCUCAAGAUAAAUAGAAGAGAAAACUUGAAAACAAAGAAAAUACUAAGGACAAUAUCAGUUUAGAAGAGGGUAAUCCGCAACUUCUAUAUGCUUAUAUCUUAUCAAGAAAAAGGGAUAAUCCACUCUUAAUCAAGAUUAGGCAAAGCUCUGAUAUUAUAGGUGUACUCUUGUCAAUCUAUCAAGGACAAGAACUCGAUGAAAAACUAAUUCAGACAAGUGAGCCUUCACUCAAAAAAAGGUAAAAAAAUAUAAAUAAAUAAGGGUAUAUAUUGAAAGAGAAACUAGAAUGGCUAUUGCCAAAAGACAAGAAAACUAAAGACCCUUGAAACUAGACUAGAAGCAAGAAAGGAGUUGACAAGAGUGAAGAAGGCUUCACUCUUUUCUCUAUAUAUACUAUCUAACUAGAGGCUAUGUGGCAACGUUCUAUAGGACCUCUAAUAUGUGUUGACUUUGUAGGACACAUGCCUUGACUUACAAGGCAAGUUUUUCUACGUGUGGGCCACAUAGUUAGCUUGAUCUUCAAGCAAACAACAUGUGUGGCACAUGACCAACUUGUUGACCACGUUUCUAAUUCAAAAAGUCAAUUAAAGACACCUAUAAAGUCAAAGUAGCAUCUAUGAAGCUUCUAGGAAGUUUUCAUAUUAAAUACUAUAGAAUUAACUUACUUUUACUUACUUUUAUUUACUUCUAUUUAUUUGUAUAUGUAAUUACUAGCUUACAUGAGUAUGUCCGUGACACUUAUUAUAUAUUACAUAUUUAAUAAUAUUUAACAAUAGAUGUAUAAAAGCAAACAUAUGUAUGAAUGAUUGAAGUUAGUAUGUAUAUUGUCAUGUAAUGUAGCAUUAGGUACCAAAUCUUAUCAAAUAGAUGUAGUUUAGUUUAAUUUAGUGGAUUUUUAUCCAUUUAGUAUUUUUUGUUAGUCAAUCUUGUUAAUGUCAAUUAGGUUUUGAAGACUUAGAUAGAGAAACCUCCUUGACUUGAUAUUUUUGUCAAGUUAAGUCUUAUGAGUAGUUUUAAUAAAAAAAAAAAAGUCUGUGGUAUAUGAUUUUGUUUAGCUAGGGUAAUUAGCAUUUUAGUGAGGUUUUAGGAUUUUCUCUACACACACUUAUAUUCUUGGAUUCUCUUUUUGUAGUAUAAGAGACAGCUUGAUUUAGAAGUAUUUUUAUUUUCUAUCUUUGACUUGACAAGGAUGUUUAUUUCUUUAAUUUAUAGUGUAGCAAAUUGAAAUAAAAUAGUAAUAAAAAAUAAAAUAAAAUAAAUCCCUUCUUUCAAUUUUUUUGGUUGUCGUACUCCUAGAUUUACUUUUAUUAUUGGAUCUUAUUGCACUAUGGUAUUUUAUUGCUCACUAUGCUAUUAGCUUCUCUAUUACAAUGUUGAAUAUUAUAGUUUUGGGAUAUUAUUGUAGUAUUGUCUUUUAUAUUAGUGGAUUAUUGUGCAAACAUAAUACAACAAUAUAGUAUUGCAAUACAAGGUGGUUGGAGCAUCACAAUGCAAGUUGUAAGAAUCCAUUGUCGUGUAGCAUGAUUUGUAAUUUGAAAAUACAUGGGGUAUCUAGCUAUAUAGAGUUUAGUUUUAGCUUAUCGGCUAAGUUCCAAUAAGUGAUUUGUUCAAUCUUUAACUUAUAUACAAAUUCUUGGCUCCCAAAACCUCUAUAUUUAAUAUAAAAUAUCCAAAUUGUAUAAAAAAACCCCUCAAAAUAUGUUAAUUUUUAUAAAAGAUUUCUUCUUCUAGAAUUUUAGAAAUUUAUAUUGCUUGAUCUUAUCGUUUAGUUUCUUUCAAAUUUUUAAAUAAUAGAGCUAUUAUCCUAAAGCCUAACUACAAAAAAAUGAUUUGUAAAAUGAUUAUCAAUCUUUUGGUAUCUUAGAAACCCUAGCAGAUGCUCUAAAUCCUAACUUACAAGCACCUAAGUACUAUUUUCUUUAUAUCUCAUAAAUUCAAAAUUUAAAAUACCUCAAAAUUUGAACACAAAGUUUAUUCAUAUGACUAUACUCAUUUUUCAAAAUUUUGAGCUAGAAUCUCAUCAAAUCAUCACAUAUCACAUAUAUAGGUAAAUAUGUAUGUCCAUUGUCGUGUUGUGGUUUGGCUACCAUGUGAAAAUAAUGUGUUUAUAUAUUUCAUAUAUAAUAUACUAGACAACAUAGUGAAAGCUAUGUUAGUGGAUUUUUGUUGGUUAUAGGAUGUGGAUAGAUUACUAGCUCAAAAAGAAGUUAUUUAAAAGAGUUUCUAUUAGAAUUUAUAUAACUUUAUUUUCUUUUGAUAGUGACUUAGAAGUUGAUCUUAUUAGUAGUAAGUUUUCAAUAUUUAGAAUCACCUUUGUUAGAUAUUAGUGACCCUUAAAGUCUUAUUUUGUUUCUUUUAUAUGGUGUUUAGGGCAUAUAUUGUGUAAACAUUUUAAAGAAAAGAAUUGGAGAGGAAUUUUGGUAGCAAAAAGAAAGUUUAGGGCAUCCAUAUAGAUGAAUGGAGAUGAAUGAUAAAAAUCUCUAUUACUACUGAUCAAAAAUCAUGACCAAUGGACUUCAAGAAGGUUAUCCGAGGCCAUAUUAGGAAUUAGGGUUAUACUUUUAAUCUAUUUGAGCUUUUGAAGGCUAUGGUGAGCAAGUUCAAAGCUUUGGCUAUGGUUUAUGUUCAAAUUUUGAGUCAAUUGGAGCUUUUAUGAAAGAGAUAUAGGCAUUCAAAGUCGAGGUAUCGAUUUUGUAUCUACUAUCACUCUUUUGGGUAUAACUCAUGCAUACAAAAAGCAAUAGAGGAUUGAAAAUAGAGGUUGAAGAAAGCAUUUUUUUAAUCUAUAGUUUUGUCAUAUUUUUUGAUGGAUUCCAAGUUGGAAUGAAGAAGAUAUUGGAGGUUGAAAUUAGUGCUUUCAAAUCUAAAAGUAGUAAGUAACCUGAUUCACUAGUAGUUGUAUUUUGAGCUAUAUUUUGAGAAAUUUGAUGAGAUUUUGGCUCAAAAUUUCCAAAAAUGUGUAUAACUAUGUUAAUAAAUUUUAUGUACAAAUUUUGUGGUAUUUAGAUUUUGGAUUUGUGAGAUAUGAAGAAAAUAGUACUCAAGUGCUUAUGAAUUAGGGUUUGAGGCACCUACUAGGAUUUUUAAGAUGCUAGACGAUCGGUUGCAAAUUUAUAGUUUAAUUUUUUUUGUAGUAAUGCUUAAGGAUAAAUUCUAUAUUAUGUGUAAAUUUGAUAAAAAUUGAAUAGUUGGAUCGAGAGAUAUGAAUUUCUAAAGUUCAAGAAGAAAAAAACCUUUGCAGGAUAAAUAUGUUUUGAUGAGGUUUUAUUAUAAAUUGACCAUUUUAUACAAAUUAAAGGAGUUUUUUGGAAAUCAAGACCUUAUAUAUAUAUUGAAGAUGAAUAUAUAGAACUAUGGUUAAAUUUUGAUAUAAAGAUGAGUUUUUGAGAGGAGAUUAUAGAUUUUCUUUGGAAUUAUUGAAAAUCUAACUUACCGGCAAAUGAUUAGUUAUGAUUUGGUAUAACCAAGAAUGUUAGGAAAUUCCUAGAUAUUUUAGAAAUCCUUAUGUAUAAAUCUUCUUAAAUAUAAAGGAUUUUACUAAUACAAUUUAUUUUUGAUAUUGUAGUAUUUAUUUGUCUUUUACUUUAAAGAUUAAAUAACUUAUUAGAGCUUGAUUAAUAAGUUAAAACUAAACUCUCUAUAGCUAGGUACCCAAUGUAUUUCCAGAUAGAAAACCAUGUAAUAUGACACCGUGAUAAUUAGAAGCUAACUAAGAGAUAUGUUUUUUCAUACAAUUAAAAUCUCAUUCCUAGAGACUUUUUAAUUCUUUCUUCUAUUAUUAUUUUUUUAUUCUUCUUAUAAUUGAAGAUAUUAAACUUUGAUUAAUAUUUUUUAUAUAUUUUUUAGCUAAUUAUUUUUUGACUUAGAUAAUUCUAUCAAUUAUAACACUAAUAUUACUCUUCCUAAUUCUUCUAAUUUUUUUUUGUUUUAGAUUGAUUAAUUUUAAAAUGAUAACUUUAAUAGUAAACAUAAAAAUAUAUCUCUUUAAAAGAUAAUAAUAAUACUUGUAAUAACUAUUUUUAUUAUUAAUUUACUAAUAUAAUAUUAUAAUAUUAUAAUUUUUUAUUUUUUCAUUAUAUACUAUUGUAUACUAUUGAUAUAACAAUCUACUACCACCUUUGCAUAUAAUAUAAUUACUAUAAUAAAAAAUUAAAGAAAUAUAUGAAGUUGGUAGUGGAUUGUGAUAAUAAUAGUAAAAAUGGAGGUGGUAUGAGUAAUAUCCAAAAUUUUCUAAGACAUCCAAAUUACAUCAUCUAUUAAAUUAUAAAAAGUAGUAGAAGUAUUUUUGAAUCAAAAUUUAUAAUAUUAAUUUUUAAAUGGCUAGGUUUAUUUUAUAAUAAAUAACAUUCUUUGUAGCUACUAUAAUAUUCUAUAUUUAUUUAUAUACAUAUGUACAUAUGAUUUUUUUCACAAAAAUAUAGAUAUGAUUAGGGUAAUUAUUUCAUGUCAAAUAAAAUUUUAAGCAUCAAUUUUAUCAAUAAAUUCUUCAAAAGUAUUUAUUAAUUUGUGAAAUAAAUUAUAUAUUGGUCGAAAUAGUAAUUAUAUGUAUUUUUUAAGAUUAAUCUUGUAAUUAUAAAAAUAGUGCUUAAAAAAGUUAUUAACACUAUUUUUUCAAAUAUACAUUACAAUUUCUUAUAGUAAUUUAGGAUUCCACUACAAUCUCUAAUAAAAUAAGGACUUAGUGUUAAAUAAAUUAUAUAUAUAUAUAUAUAUAUAUAUAUUUAUUUAUAUAUUAAUCCAAAAAAUACGGAUUUUAUUUUUUAAGAAUUAUUAAGUUUUUAUAGAAAAAAUAUUUUAUAAAAAUUAAAAACUAUGAAGUAUUUAAUUUGUUUAAAGAUUAUUCUCUUUUUUUAAAAAAACCUAAAAUAACAUGAUUAUUCAGUAUCUUAGUAUUAUUAAUUGCUAUUUUUUUUUAUUAUGUCCAUGUAUAAAAAUUUCUACAAGAAAUGUUUUAGAAAAAGACAUAUCCACAAGAUAAAUAGGACAUCUACAACUUUUUUGUGGAUUUUCUAAGAAUUUGUAAUAAUAAUAUUUUUUGACCUUUGGCAAGAAAUUAUGAUUCAAUGUUAAAAAUGACUUUAUAAUUUAACUAAAUAGAGGAAUACAUUACACUUUUUAUAGGUCUUUGUUAAAAUUUUACUUAAAAACAAAGAGAGGAUUUAGAAUACAACAAAGGACCUUUAUAAAAUGAUGUUGGAUAAAAACCUAGUUAUACAUUUCUAUUGAAGCUAGAAGUUUUUUAUACAUAUUUUAACUUAAUAUAAAAUAAUUUUUAUUCAACUUAUUUAAUUUUAAAACAAUUAGUCUGUAAAUCAAUUUUUUUAUAUUGAAUAUAAUUUUAAUUUUUAAUUUUUGAAUAAAAUAAUCAAUAAUUUUAACUCAAAACUUUUAUAUAAUUAUAAAAAAUACUUCUAUUAAUGUGAUUGUCAUUUUACUUAUUCUACAAUUCCUUUCAAAAUAAAUCUAUAUAGGGGAAUUCGAACACAUGGAAAGACUAAGUGCAUGAGUUUUGUUUGUUGCUGUCACACAAUUAACUGUAUUUCAAACCACUAAAAUACUAUGAAAUACUAUAAUGCUUUCUCCCAAUAACAAUACUCCUUCAUCAACUGAUAACAACAGUGUACAACCCUGCACUCUCAAAAGACCGCUUAAAACACAUAAUUUCCAUCCAACACCAGGAAUAACAGACUUCACUCCAAUAAUGUGAAUUCACAAAAUUUCUAUAAUCAUAGACUUCCUCUGUCCAAACACACACAGCUCUCAAUAAACAACAAUCAUAAUCUUCCAAUAACUCCUCAUAUAAUUCAAUCACACAAUACUCUAAUUACAUAAUCAAUAACUCAUAAAUCAAUCUUUGAUUUAUUCCAUAGACUCACUUCUCAGUAUUCAAAAACUAUCCAUUACUCUUCAACAACAAAGAAAUAAAGAGACAAAGAAGUAAAGAGGUAGCACCAAGCUUACCCCAGCUCAUGACUAUUAUAGUCUGGCCCUCCAACAAACUUCUACAACUCCUAUAUAAUUCCUCUUGAUUUCCAGAUUCUAAUCAUAAUCUUAUAAUUAACCGCUUUUAAUAACUAAAUCAAUCAUCUGUCCUCUUGAACUGACUAUUCUAUGGACUAUUAGUCUAUUUUACCAAUAACUUACAAAAACAAACUAAUAUCUAUUCUAUAAUUAAUUAAAAUUUACAAUGAAAUAUAGAAGAUAUACAAAUCAAUGUCGAAUUAUUUAAAUUUAUAACAAUCUAAGAAAAAACAUGACAACACAAAGAAUGCUUGUACUUAUGUGGUAGAAAAUCAAAAUAUAUUACUAAGUAUAAUCCAAAGAAGUUGAAUUUAUAUAUAUAUGUAUACAUAUAUAUUUUAUAAGAAUAUAAUGAUUUAAAAAUUUUAUAUGUUAAAUAUAUAAAUUCUUAUUUGAUAUCAAAAAAAUAUUUAGUGGAAUAUAAAAAAAAAAAAAUCUAAUAAAUCUAAGUUCAAAAGUAAAAAUUAAUUAAUAGAAAAAAAAAUUAUUUUGAAAGAAAUGUAUUUAAUUGAUAAAUCCUUGAAAUUCAGAUCUACUAUCAUCAAACUUCUUCGGAAAAAUAACUAGUAGGUCUUUAGUAGAUACAAUUAUAUUUUUGUGAGUUACUUGAAGGAAUACAAUCAUUGAAGAAAUUCUAAAUAUUUAUAUGUCUUAUUGAUUAGACACUCCUAAUAUUAAUCACAGUAGUAAACAAAAUUAACAUAUAAUAAACAUUAAUCUUUAUAUUUAUAUCUACAUGUAUGUAAUAAAAAUCUUUAUCUCUAUUAUUUUUUCUACAAAUACAAUGAAUUAAGAAUUUUUUUCUUGAAUUAUUAUAGAAGCUAUUAGAAAAAGAUUCUAUUUAAUUUUUGUUAAUUUUUUUGAAUAUAAUAUUGCAAUUAAUACCAUCUAAGGACUCUUGUUUGUAAUAUUGAAGAUUGUAAUUGGUCAUCUUUUUUGCAAGAAUAAAUAUACAUUUGAAAUUCUAUGAUAGACCUUUUCUUAGAAAUAGCUUGCCAUGCUUGUGCAUCUAUGGUUGUUUGUUUACUCAUUCUUGAGUACAACUAACUUUUCAUUAGCAAAAAAAAAAAAAAAAAAAAAAAAAAAAAAUUGGAAACAUGGCUUGCCUUUGCACAGAAAUCCACAAAAGGGGGCUUGAUGGAACUAGGGAGGCUCAUGACCAGUGGAUGCUUCUAGAAUGUUGAAUAGCUAAACGAUCAAAAACUUCAAAUGUUCAAAUAUUUUUGAACAUGCCAAAAAGAUAAUAAAUAUUGUUACUGUUAACUAGGCGGAAAGCAAGCAAGCAAGUCACAAACACAUCCAACUUCCAUCCACACAAGGACAUCCAUGAAGAGACGUUCAUCAUCAAAGCAGGUCCAGCAUUCAUUCUCGGAAGUACACACAAAUAAUCCACUAAAAGCACCACCACCCAGAAAAGCCUUACCGCAGUUUUGGCCACUUGGGUCUAUAUUCCCUCCGAGUAUAUAUUAAUAGGCAUGUUUUUACCAGUUGGUACGAUCUCACUUGUUUUCUCGUUGACAAUCUGCACACUGUAGAAUCGACUGCAGGUCACAACUGUGCAGUCCGUGAUUGACAACCACAGACCGGGUGAAUCUGAGAUAGAUCACACUGUUACCUGUUUCAGUCGGCAUGGACGUUGACAAGCGCCGACGAUUAUUCCGGAGUAGUGUGCUGUGAUGCGCCAAAAACCGCAAUUGGUGAACGUGGCCAGAUACCGACUACUCGACCCCUCAAAAACUCCGAAGAGUGUGCCGAGCAGUCGAUAUCUGCUGCUUCUUAGCCACACCUCAUCGUCAUUUGGUGUUUUCUCAGGAUAAGUUGCAAUCGUUUGUUGCAGACGGAAAGUGUGUCGUUAUCGCUGAGUUCAGUUGCGCAGCACAUAGUUCUAGCGACCACACCUAGGUUCUUAGAAAAAGCCAGGAUGAGGGUACCGCUAGCCCUGUGUUUGGUGGUAGGUUGCAUCAUUGUAGGUAUCAGUGCACAGCGUUCUCCAGAUGGCCUCCCUCGGCCAGAGAAUACGCGCUUUUCUCCAGAUUACCCAUUUGGUCCGACACCUACGGUCUAUAACAAUGUGACAGGAGCCGUGAUCGAUUGCGAUUGGUAUGGAUGGGAGAACAUUCUGUAUCCGACAUCUUCAGUCCGAUGCACAUACUUGCUGCGGGCCUUUUUGACGAAUGCGACAUUGUUUCCUCCCAGCAAGCGCGAAGCAUAUGUAUACUACUACCAUUCCAAGUUGUCGGACCCGGCCACCGAAGAACCUUAUUGCUACCAAGGGUGCUUCAAAUUGUCUGCGUCUUCGUCCUCACCGCCGUCAGCUCCCGCUUCGGACCCCCCUCCUCCCCCAGAUAUAAUCCCACCAAGUCCCACGACUUUCAACUCACCACCACCCCCAACUCCCAUCUUAACACCUACUACUCCCAGCGUAACGCCGUCCACCUCGCCUGGGACGCCUACAACUCCAACAACUACACCUAGAUUCAACUCCAACAGUGGCGAUUGUUUGCGGCCGUCGGCGCCGGGAUCGUGGAUUGCGAUGGUGGCGGGUGCAGCCAUGUUGAUGAUGAGGGGGAGAUGGUGAGGUGUGAAGGGGGAGGCGCUGCGAUGGAGAAGCGCCGACCGUGAUGUAUGUAGGUAGUCCCUCUCCGUUCCCAGUGUGUGUGUGAAUGUGAGUGUACAGGUGAUGGAGGUAUCGUGUGGAGUCAGCUGGGUUCCUUGAUAGAUAGGGUAGCAGUAUCAUUAUCAUCUGGCUCUCUCUGAUUUGAAUGGGGCAUGAUGCUGUGUCUCCCUUUGUAGCUGCAUCAUUCCUUGCACCAUUUCCCUUUGAUAUGUGAUAUGUCAUCGUGUAGUACGAAAAACCGAUGGCGAGAUUCUAUGCCAUGUUUAUAAAAUAAUUAAGUCAAGUUUAUGGAAGCCAAAUUAUUUAGUUUUUUUUCGAGAUAAUUGGUUCCUUCCCUUUCCUUUCCUCCUCGCACACUUUCUGCUAUCUUAUUGCA
rnacentral:lncRNA from 1 species